AUAUUCUUAUCCCUUUCCCCUUUCUUCUUCUACUAAAACCUCUUCCCCCUUAUGUUUUCCCUCCAGCCGAGACCCUAACCACCGCCCAGAUCGGAAGUCGAACAUCCGCCGCGCACCGUGCCUCUGCAGAAACACAGUCGCCCGCGUCCGCACAGCUAUGACACCUAACAGCUCACGUCCGUGUCGCUUCGUCUACCUAGUCGCGCCGCGCAAGAGACCUUUGUCGCUUGUUUGUCCUUGUGAGAUCUAGCCACCGACUGGGUCAUCUGUUUGUGCUCGUCGACCGACCACCGAAGUCGCUGCCAAGAUCUGUUCAAGCCCCAGCCGCACGAUCCCCGUCUCACUGUACGACGCUGUUAGUCUUCGCCGUCUCCGUCGAAGCACACCACCACAACAGCCGUCCUCGCUCCGCUCGUCACGCCUGGCUGAUGUUCUCUUCUUCAGCCCAUCACAGCAACUGGAACCCGUGGCUAGUCGCCAGAAUUUUUGACCUUAGAAUCAAGCUUCAAGAAUUUUGGUUAGUUGCCGAACUCGUUCGAAGCCAUUUCUUUAGACAUUUGGGUGCCGUGUGAUCUGCUGUCGUCGGCAUCGUGCAUCCGGGUCGAGAAGCGUGUGUCCGCAGCUUGCAGUUGCAAUAGUCGUUCACCCCUAGUCCGGAUCCUGGCCCAGCGCACCACCACCAACGAAGGUCUCCCCCACUAAACUGCUAUUCACCGCGACGGACUUCUACUUUUGCUUGCUGGAUUUGAGGGUUUCGUCGGAAAGCUUGGUUUUGGGUAAGAUCUUGGUGGGUUUUAUGAAUUUUCGUGAAUGGAUCUUGAUUACCCAUUUGAUUUUGGGUUAAUUUUGAUAAAAUCCAUUAUAUUUGGGUCAUAGAUUCGAGUUUUAGUGGAGGUUGAAGAUUGAAAGCAUGUUGUACGGUGUUACAAAGGUUUGAUUUUGGUUUGGUAAGUUUUGGUACCUUUGGUCCUUUUGGAUUUAGGGUAAUUGUUGAAAAUUUAGUUAUUAAAUAUUGGUUUUUAUUUAUGCUCAGAUUGGACACAGACACAUAAAUCGAGCUUUGGAACUGAACUUGAACCAAACCACAACUUUUGUUAAGCUUAAUUUGAGGACCUUUGGUAAUUUGUUAAAUUCAAUUAGACCCUAAAGAAUAAGUUGCAAGCAUUGGAUUUAUUGUUUUGUGCCAGAUAUGCUAAAUUAAACAUUGUAAUUUAUAUUAUAGGAGGGAUUAUGGUCUUCCAACUGUGUUCAAGGAAAUAUUGCUUGGAUUAAUUUUGAGAAUUGCGAUUUCAGGUAAGUAAUCCUACUACUGGAACUGCCCACGGGCUAGGCACUAGAUAUAUGCUAGCAUGAUAGAUGAAUAUUAUGACAAAACGAUAACAUGAUAGACGGAUAGUAUCGUAUGACCGAUAUAUGUUCUUGUAUGAUGAUCUGAAAGAUUUAUUUGUGUACGUAGAUACUUGCAUGCUAGUAUGAGAUGAUACUUGAUUCAAUGAGGUUGUAUUUGAUAUGUGGAUAUUGAGACAUAUAUGCAUGUUGUAAAGCCAGGAUGUUGAGGUAUAUAUGUAUGUUAUAGAACCAUGUUGUGAUAAUUAUGAUGUUGUGACUGUGAUAGUGUCUUUACUGAUUAGUUAGAUGCCCACUAGAUAUUGUGUUUCCUUCGGGAUUCACCAGA